GACGAACGCUGGCGGCGUGCUUAACACAUGCAAGUCGAACGAAGUAGCGAACGGGUGAGUAACGCGUAAUCAACCUGCCCUUCAGAGGGGGACAACAGGUGGACACGACUGCUAAUACCGCAUACUGAAGGCGGGGAUUGCGUCGGAUUAGCUAGUUGGAGGGGGAAAGGCCCACCAAGGCGAUGAUAAGUAGCCGUGCUGAGAGGAUGAACGGCCACAUUGGGACUGAGACACGGCCCAGACUCCUACGGGAGGCAGCAGUGGGGAAUCUUCCGCAAUGGACGAAAGUCUGACGGAGCAACGCCGCGUGAGUGAUGACGGCCUUCGGGUUGUAAAGCUCUGUUAAUCGGGACGCGGUACCGGAAUAGAAAGCCACGGCUAACUACGUGCCAGCAGCCGCGGUAAUUC
rnacentral:rRNA from 1 species